AACCCUCCCUGUUCUCAAUAACUGAAGCACUGCCGACUUAGGGUUGCCGACUAACGAAAAGUCAUUUUCCUUUUCUCCUUGUUCUCAGCGACUAGCGACUUAGGGUUGGCGAGUGGCGGCUUACGGUUGGUGACUGGUAAGAGAAGGGAUCGUGUGGAAAAAAAUCUAGGGUUUCUUUGAAAUUGUAGAACUACAGUGAGGAUUAUCACUACCUGCGGAUUUAGUUAACCGAGAAACUAUGUCAGAACCCUGGAGAAGUGAAGUUAAAAGUGAUGAAACAAAUAGGAAAAGAAUGUCAGAUUGACUGAUACACUAUGAUAGGAUAGACGAGUGCAAAGUGAUGUUUAUAGCUUUGGUCUUAUCCUGCUGGAACUCUUAACUGGGCGGAAGCUUGUUGAUCAUACUCUGUGGUGUGAGCAGCAGAGCCUUGUGAAUGGGCAACUCCAAAACUCAGUGAAGAUAAGGUGAAGCAAUUCUUUGACGCAGAGUUAAAUGGAGAAUAGCCUCCUAAGGCAAUUGCAAAAGUACUGAAGAUUGUAACUUUGACUGAAAA